rnacentral:other from 1 species
AAUCCUCUGCCAUGCUCGUGCUGCGACACCUAUUUUCGUCGAGCCGAUACGAGAUUCCGCGGGGUGCUUGAUACAGGCCUUGGCCGCGUGUACAGCCGACUCCCGAUCGCUUCGGCGUUCGGAUCAGGACGGAUCACACAACCCGAGGUCCAGGUGCCCACAUACUCAAUAGCGGGCUCUCGAAAACCGUGUUGCCACGGCAUUAGGGUGGAGGAUUU